UACAGAGGUCCCAACCGUUGUUCGGAUUCAUUGGGCGUAAAGGGUGCGUAGGCGGUCGCGCAAGUCGGAUGUGAAAUCUCGGGGCUCAACCCCGAAACUGCAUUCGAUACUGCGUGGCUAGAGUGCUGGAGGGGAGACUGGAAUUUACGGUGUAGCAGUGAAAUGCGUAGAUAUCGAGAGGAACACCAGUGGCGAAGGCGGCUACCUGGCCCAAUACUGACACUCAGGUGCGACAGCGUGGGGAGCAAACAGG
rnacentral:rRNA from 1 species